CUUAAUGUUUCAUCUUCACGCCAAUAUAUCUCCAUUUCACCAACUAUUUCUACUGUUAUCUCAAUAUUCAAAAGGUAUGGCCAACUUCUAGGGCAUGAACGUACGCAUGAAGUUUAUCCAAAAGGCAUGUUUUCAUGUAAUUUCUUAAUCUCGAUAUAUUUUGUUAUGGUUUGAUUUGUUUUUUUUUGUAACAUGUGUCUUAAAUAGAUCUAAAGGGCAUUUGAAGUAGAUCUGAAGUAGAUCUGAAGGGUAUUUGAAGUAAAUCUGAAGUAGAUCUGAAGUGUAUUUGAAGCAGAUCUGAAAGCUUAUGUUGUAUUUUUAAUAGCAUAUGAAGAAAGGGCAGAAUCCAUGUAUAGAGCAAGAAUUUGAUGAUGACAGAAAGUAUAGUUAUCAUUAUUUCUGUUGUAGAUUAUCUUCUCUAUGUUACUUAUAGUAUACUCUUGUUAUAGGAAAUAAUUUUGAUAAACUGCAGUAGAUGACCCCUUUAAGAAAUUCUCAUCUUUUCUUUCCAAAAUUCCCAGAAGAGUCUUCAUAUCAGAAAAAAAAAACAUGAACUUCAAAACUAAGCAAAAAUAAAGGCAAAGAUGAGAAGAUCCAUAAGAAAAAGGGUUUGUUUUUUGUUAUGUUGUCAUGAUGCAUUUUGGCUAGUUUUCUUAUGGUGGAGUUUUCUCUUAUAGUUAUUUUCUAAGAUGCAUACUCUUAUUGCCGCUUGAAAGAUCUGAAGCUGUAAGAAAAUUACAUAGAUUACAUAAUGUCACUGAACUGUCACUGAACUACCUUUUUUGUGGAAAUAUUGGAGAAAACUUAAUUUUUCUUCUAUGAGUGAGGAAACUUUCUUCUAACAGAGAUAUUGAUACACUUGUGUUUGUGAAUUUUUGGAUUAUCUUCUAAUAGAGAUAUUGAUACACUUGUGUUUGUGAAUUGCUGGAUUUUCAGAGGGGUUGUUUUAUGACCAGUAACACAUAUUUGAGGAGUUAAAUAUAACAAAGAUGAAGAAGAGAUGAUAAUUGUGACUGAGAUGAUAAUUGGGACAAGUUCUUUGAAUGCAGCAUAAUAUAUUUGGACUUUAUUGGUUGUAUUUAUCAAAUUAUUGGUUGUUUUAUCAAAUUAUAAAAUAACUCCAUGUUAAAUGAUUAAAUGGGUCCAAAUAAUUCAGUGUUUUUAAAAAUAAUAAAAUAAACCAAUUACUUGAUUAAAAUUUAUAUUAAAAAAAGCUAAAUUUAAUGUCCUUAAAUUAUUUUAUGACCCGAAUAAUUAUAUCCUAUAAUAAAUUAAAAAAAGAAUUAAGAGGAAGGUUGAUGUUCAUUUGGGCUUUAUCCCAAAACGACCCAAUAAAAAAAAAUAAAAAAUUGAAAUUCUGCUAUUUUUUUUACCUUGGGCUUGAUUUUUAAGCUGGACCAAUAAAUUAAAUAUCCGAAAAAAACCGAUUUCCAUAACUGAACCGACUCAAUCCGAACCCGAAAAAACCAAGAUCUAAACCGAUUGGAAGUUGGGCCUGUAAUCUUCACCCGAGGGUUAGACCGGUUUGGUAGUUUGGACCCGAACCCGAACCGGCCCGAACCGAUGUCUACCCCUAUGGGCAACCAUAUUCGCUUGGCGCUUAACAAACUUAACCUUAAAUUUGGGAUAAAAUUGUAACAAUCUCUGGAUAGACAAGAUAAUUAGACUAAUUUCAGAGCUCCCACAAUGAUUGAAAUUAAUCGCUUGAAUCACCCUGUGAGAGUCACUUUCAAAAAUUACAUUUUCCAAGUGUUUAGCUAUAACUCCUUGAAUUGUCUCUUUAAGAACCAAAGCUUUUGCUUCUACAAUGGAAAGCAGACCCAUGUCCCAAUCCACACCUG